UCAUCCAUUGUUGAAUAGUUAAAGCGCCUAACUCAUAAUUAGCGAACUUGUGGGUUCAAUUCCUGUUGGAUGCA
rnacentral:tRNA from 1 species